GACAGCCGCCUGGGGUCCGCCGCUCUGCGAGCGCCGGGAGCUGCGGUGGCACCAUGAGCGGGGUCACCCCUUUCCUCCACAGCAAGAUCAGCCACAUCUCCAAGGCACAGAUCUGCUACGAGGGCAUCCUCUGCACCAUCGACACGUAGAACCCCACCGUAGCCCUCGCUAAAAUUCAAUUUUCUGGUACAGAAGAUAGAUCGUCCAAUACCACCUCAAGAUGAACUAUUGUAAUACAUUGUAUUCCAUAGGAGUGACAUUAAAGACCUCACUGUGAGCCACCAAAACCACAGUGUUCUUUGCCUGAAGACCCAGCUAUCCUUCAGUCCUCACUAGGCUCAUCAACUUCUUCAUUCUGGUGCGUGGGGUUCUCAUGGGCCUUUGGGCAGGAUGCUCAUAUACAGUCGGUUCAGUCCAAGCUCCUUAGUUGGGCAGGAGUUUGGUGCCGUUGCUGUUGCUGGAAGCUCUUUGAUAUCGUUUGGAACAGAAACAUCAAACAGUGGUGUCUUACCCCAAAGUAGUAUGGUUGACUCUGCCUUAACACAGGAUACAAGAUCUCUAAAAACACAGUUAUCUCAAGCUGAAGUACACAAUGUUUCAAGACCAGAAAAUGAGCAACUCAGAAAUGAUAGCAAGAGACAAGUAGCUCCAGGUACUCCUUCAGCUCCAAGGAGAGGGCGUGGGGUUCAGCCGGGUAGCAGGGGAAGAUUUCGUAUUCUGCGAGAUGGGCCAAUGAAAUUUGAGAAAGACUUUGACUUUGAAAGUGCAAAUGCACAAUUCAACAAGGGAGAGAUCGACAGAGAGUUUCAUAAUAAACUUAAAAGAAGAUAAACUGAGAAACAGGAGGAGCCUGUAAAUGGUGAAGAUAAAGGUGACCCAGGAGUUGAUACCCCAAAAGUAAAGGAAGUGCUGAUGAAGAAGAUCCACUUGGACCUAACUGCUAGUAGGAAAAAACUAAAUCCUUCUUUGAUAAUAUUUCUUGUGAUGACAAUAGGGAACGGAUAUCAACCUGGGCUGAAGAAAGAAGAUUAAAUGCUGAAACAUUUGGAAUCCCACUUUGUCCAAAUCGUGGCUGUGGGAGACGCAGAGGCAGAGGGAUCUUCGGUUUCUGUGGUGGCAGAGGGCAUGGUGGUAGCAGAUGUGGUACUUUAACCAUCCCUGGAGGAUUUCGCAGUGGAUUCAGAGGAGGUCCUGGGGGCAGGGAGUUUUCGGAUUUCUAAUGUAGGAAAGACAACAAAGUUGCUGUAUAGUCUACAAACAAGUCUCUAAAAAUAGGUGAAUUUUUAGCUCUUCAUGGUCCUGAAAAUUGAUUUCAGUCUUUGUGAAGAAUCAAGUGAAUUCACUGUACAUUUGUCAACAGCACUGGGUUUUUGUUUUUUGUUUGUUUUUCUGCUUAAUUUCAAAGAUAAAAUGCAGUUACUUUUUGGGGUUGCAGGGGAGAAAGCCUAAUCUUAAAAAAUGAACAUAAAAUAUAUUUGGAAUAGCAGAAGGUUAAGUAAUUUCUUAUGUACAGUUAAGCAGUACUUCAGUGGGACUUAUAUUUUUUCAUCACUGAAAGUGUAUUUUUUAAAUUACUAAAUCAUAUUUGUCAAUUGCAAGUGGCCUGCAGAUAGGGCUGUGAUACUGUGUUUUGGGCCACAGAAGGGUGUGUG
rnacentral:lncRNA from 1 species